CGUGUAGGCGGCCGGCCAAGUCGGAUGUGAAAGCCCUCGGCUCAACCGAGGAAGUGCGUUCGAUACUAGCUGGCUUGAGUACCGGAGAGGGUGGUGGAAUUCCCGGUGUAGAGGUGAAAUUCGUAGAUAUCGGGAGGAACACCAGUGGCGAAGGCGACCACCUGGACGGAUACUGACGCUGAGACGCGAAAGCGUGGGGAGCAAACA
rnacentral:rRNA from 1 species